AGAUAUGAUCACCCUCUCAUGGUGCGCAAUCCUGAUACCUCAACUUCCCCUCGAACCUUUUACAGGAUAUCCCCCUCUAGUUUCCAGCCACCCGUUCAGUUGGAGAUCCAUUUCAAUCCACGUCUUGAUCAUUUGGUUGAGAGGCUCGAGACUCGAGACCCACAAAUACGAUUCUAUCGUCUCUGCGCACCGGCACCACUCGUGUCCAAAACCAGGCCCUCCCCCCC
rnacentral:lncRNA from 1 species